UGCGUAGGUGGUGAGGUAAGACCUGUGGGAAAGACCUGGGCUUAACCCAGGAAGGUCGCAGGUGACUGCCUCGCUUGAGGACGGGAGAGGAGAGCGGAAUUCCCGGUGUAGCGGUGAAAUGCGUAGAGAUCGGGAAGAAGGCCGGUGGCGAAGGCGGCUCUCUGGAACGUUCCUGACACUGAGGCACGAAAGCGUGGGGAGCAAACAGGAUUAGAUACCCUGGUAGUCCACGCCCUAAACGAUGGGAACUAAGUGUCGGCGGGUUACCGCCGGUGCCGCACCUAACGGAGUAAGUUCCCCGCCUGGGGAGUACGGCCGCAAGGUUGAA
rnacentral:rRNA from 1 species